ACCAUAGGCCAUCUGGUUUGAGAAGGAAGCCACGAGACCCACCCUCUUUACACGUUCACUCUUGGAGUGCAGCAGCAGCUGCAAAGUUUCUUACCACAUAACCUUGUAUAAGAAGAGGAUCAAGAAUGGAUGCAUACAAUAGAGGAAAAGAAAGUGACCCUGAAUUCUACCGCGAGGGUUCAAGUUUUCAAUAUGGUAAGGUAGAGGAACAGGAGGAGUAUGUCCGUGAUGUGGCCUGGAGGGUGGCUUGGCUACCGGAUCAGGCCGGACAUGAUUUUUUAAAAGCUGUGCUUGGUCUUUGAUGAUCUGAGAUGCUUCUCUGGUGUGAGUGUGCCUGACAAGAUUACUAUUGUCAGAGUCAUAUAUCCACUUUGUGCAAAGCUGAUUCAUUGCUGGUGCUAUCCAUUGCUGCUAGAUACGGCUUUAUUGGAUCCAUCAUCAUCCACUAACUCCAUGAAAGAUCCUUUUGAAAGUUCAAACUGAACAAAGCUUUGCACUAUGGGUGCUUAGAAGCAAAAGACCAAUGGCGGUGCAAGACAGUGUUGUUGUUGGCGCCGUGUUGGUCGAAACACGCGGCCAGUUCGGCCAUCAACAGCGGCGCGGCAGGAUGAGGACAUUGAGAAUCUGAAAUGCAGCUGCAAGCCGCUCGAGCUGGCAUGGACAAGAAAGAAGACAUCAUUGUUCCACUUCCUAGCAGUUUUGUUAACGCAGCCGAAAGAGCAACAUGAAUCAAUGUCCUCAACGACAAGCCGGUGGUUGAAGUGGUAUCCACCACUAUAGCGACAGCCUUUCGUAGAUUGGUCUCAUCACAUCUCUCCUUCAAUCCCCUUUGUCCACUCAAUUUGCUGACACCGCUGCAACCGCUCAGUGCUUCUCCCCACUCAGCGGCCGGCCACCCCACCCCACCCACCUGACUCCCUCACCGUUACACACCACCACCCACCCAAUCACCUCCGCCCCUGCUUCCUGCGCGUCUGCCAUGCCCAAGACGUCGGUGUCAAGAACUUCCAUCUGGUGCUUGUCCUUGUCAUCCGGAGCGCCUGGAGCUGGGCGCACGUCUGCCAUGGUUCAUCCUGUUGACUUGGCUGCUGU